GAUCUCGGAGGGAGCUGUCCCCUCUCUUCCUCCUCCUCUUCCUCCUCCCCUUCCUCCUUCUCUUCCCCCAUCCCCUGCAACCAACCAGCCUACUUCUCCAACUCCCAGCCACUUCAGUCACCUGGAAGCAAGGCCAGGGACUUGAGGCUGAGCCGGCUGGCACCGUCCCCUGUCUGAGGAGGCCCUGGAUUAAUGGGAUCAGGAGAGUGACCACAUAGAACCUUGGAAUCAUGGUCUCACAGGGACAAGCGGGAGAAUGGGUGAAAGCUCUUACCUCUGCUCUGGAGUUACCAUGGUUCAGAAAUGACAUUGCAAUCUAGGGGUGCCAUGGACCAUGCUGCUCCAGGUGACCAUCACCCCUCUUCACUCCGACUUCACUUGCACAUCAUGGCAUCACCUCCCUGAUGUCAGGGUCCUCUUCGAGAAUGAGACACAAACAAAAGAAGCUCAAUGAAGAAGGAAAUGGCAAACCA